rnacentral:rRNA from 1 species
UACGGAGGAUGCGAGCGUUAUCCGGAUUUAUUGGGUUUAAAGGGUGCGUAGGCGGGCUUUUAAGUCAGCGGUAAAAAUUCGGGGCUCAACCCCGUCCGGCCGUUGAAACUGGGGGCCUUGAGUGGGCGAGAAGUACGCGGAAUGCGUGGUGUAGCGGUGAAAUGCAUAGAUAUCACGCAGAACUCCGAUUGCGAAGGCAGCGUACCGGCGCCCUACUGACGCUGAAGCACGAAGGCGUGGGUAUCGAACAGG